rnacentral:rRNA from 1 species
GACGAACGCUGGCGGCGUGCUUAACACAUGCAAGUCGAACGGAAAGGCCCUGCUUUUGUGGGGUGCUCGAGUGGCGAACGGGUGAGUAACACGUGAGUAACCUGCCCUUGACUUUGGGAUAACUUGAGGAAACUGGGGCUAAUACCGGAUAGGAGCUCCUGCUGCAUGGUGGGGGUUGGAACGUUUCGGCGGUUGGGGAUGGACUCGCGGCUUAUCAGCUUGUUGGUGGGGUAGUGGCUUACCAAGGCUUUGACGGGUAGCCGGCCUGAGAGGGUGACCGGCCACAUUGGGACUGAGAUACGGCCCAGACUCCUACGGGAGGCAGCAGGGGGGAAUAUUGCACAAUGGGCGGAAGCCUGAUGCAGCAACGCCGCGUGCGGGAUGACGGCCUUCGGGUUGUAAACCGCUUUCGCCUGUGACGAAGCGUGAGUGACGGUAAUGGGUAAAGAAGCACCGGCUAACUACGUG